rnacentral:tRNA from 1 species
GCCCCGAUGGCUCAGUUGGUUAGAGCGCAGGUCUCAUAAUCCUGAGGUCGCAAGUUCGAAUCUUGCUCGGGGCA